rnacentral:snoRNA from 1 species
AUCCUUUUGGUUCAAAGUGUGAUGUUGGUGUGUUCAUGUGGGUGUUGCAUGAGAUAUGCAAUGUGCCUUGCUCUAAACCUUGUUACUAAGCCUGCAUAUUACCCAUCUGAUG